GUGAGUCAUCGAAUCUUUGAACGCACAUUGCGCCCGCCAGUAUUCUGGCGGGCAUGCCUGUUCGAGCGUCAUUUCAACCAUCAAGCCCCGGGCUUGUGUUGGGGACCUGCGGCUGCCGCAGGCCCUGAAAACCAGUGGCGGGCUCGCUAGUCACUCCGAGCGUAGUAGUUACAUCUCGCUCAGGGCGUGCUGCGGGUUCCGGCCGUUAAAAGCCUUAUUUACCCAAGGUUGACCUCGGAUCAGGUAGGAAGACCCGCUGAACUUAAGCAUAUCAAUAAGCGGAGGA
rnacentral:misc_RNA from 1 species